rnacentral:rRNA from 1 species
AACUUUAUAAUUAUUUUUAAUAAUUUAUUUUUAUAAAAAAUAAAAAUUAAUAAAUAAAAUCUAAUCAAUUUAUAUUGAUUUGCACAAAAAUCUUUUCAAUGUAAAUGAAAUGCUUUACUUAAUAAGCUUUAAAUUGCAUUCUAGGUACACUUUCCAGUACAUCUACUAUGUUACGACUUAUCUUACCUUAAUAGUAAGAGUGACGGGCGAUGUGUGCAUAUUUUAGAGCUAAGAUCAAAUUAUUAAUCUUUAUAAUUUUACUAUCAAAUCCACCUUCAAUAAAUUUUUCAUAUUUAUAUUCGUAUAAAUAAUUUUAUUGUAACCCAUUUCUACUUAAAUAUAAGCUACACCUUGAUCUGAUAUAUUUUCUUUUUAAAAAUUUUGAAUAUUAACAUUCUUAUAAAAUAUUCUAAUAACAACGGUAUAUAAACUGAUUACAAACUUAAGUAAGGUCCAUCGUGGAUUAUCGAUUACAGAACAGG